rnacentral:rRNA from 1 species
UACGUAGGAGGCGAGCGUUGUCCGGAAUCACUGGGCGUAAAGCGCGUGUAGGCGGGCGGGCAAGUCUGCUGUGAAAGCGCCUGGCUUAACCGGGCGAGGUCGGCGGAAACUGCUCACCUGGAGGGCGGUAGAGGGGGGUGGAAUUCCCGGUGUAGUGGUGAAAUGCGUAGAUAUCGUUUGGAACGCCAAAGGUGAAAACAGACAGCUGGGAGUGUGCUGACGCUGAGACACGAAAGCCAGGGGAGCGAACGGG